ACACCAAAUUUGACGCCCCUUCGUUGAAUCUGAUGUGUGGCGAGGAUCCUGAGCUCAAUAUAUGCUAUACAAACUUAGUUUGCACAGCUCUGAUUUGCAGCCUCUCACGUUUGUGAGUGCUCGUAUUAUGGAGCUGAUCCUGGCUUACCAUCUGGGCACAAAUCAACACGCAGUGGGUCCUCCAAGCAUGUUUUGUGGUCGUACCGUGUUGUUAAGGAGUGAGAAUU